GGUUCGGUUGCGCGUGGUGCGCGUCUGCAUUUCGUAAUUUCACCAAAAUCAAUAAACCUGCAGAUUCACCUGGUUCGAAUCCAGGCCGGGUCU